AUGGGGGGUGGGUUAGGUGGUUUAGGCUUUUCCAUAUUAUUGCAUAUUUUUUUCCAUGAUGCAUCCCCUCAUAAGUAUUUGGGCUGAGGAUACCUUUGACUUAUACACACUUUUUGUUGGCUCACCUUUAAUGAAACUAUAUUAUCUUUUUUGCAUGCUUCUACCUUCGAUCUGAAGAUUACUAACAAUGAUGAAAGGAUCUAACGGCUCUGGUACGUCCGCUUCAGAAGCGGUUGCAACAACCAGUUAUGCGUACGCCUCUUCAAUACUAGUUAAAACAACCUUGAGUAUCAGUGGAGGAAAAGGAAGUUGCGUUGGUGGGUUCUUAAAAUAGUUUGUUAAAUAUUUUCCCUUCAUGAACUAGGAUUGUAAAAAAAAAUGACAAGCCUAGAGAAACAUUGAAUGA
rnacentral:lncRNA from 1 species